rnacentral:rRNA from 1 species
GGUACAUCGGUGACAGGUGGUGGCAUGGUUGUCGGUCAGCUCGUGUCGUGAGAUGUUGGGUUAAGUCCCGCAACGAGCGCAACCCCUAUUGUUAGUUGCCAUCAUCAGUUGGGCACUCUAGCGAGACUGCCGGUAAUAAACCGGAGGAAGUGGGGAUGACGUCAAAUCAUCAUGCCCCUUAUGACCUGGGCUACACACGUGCUACAAUGGUUGGUACAACGAGUUGCGAGUCGGUGACGGCGAGCUAAUCUCUUAAAGCCAAUCUCAGUUCGGAUUGUAGGCUGCAACUCGCCUACAUGAAGUCGGAAUCGCUAGUAAUCGCGGAUCAGCACGCCGCGGUGAAUACGUUCCCGGGCCUU